UGAUGGGAGCUUGCUCCCUGAUAUUAGCGGCGGACGGGUGAGUAACACGUGGGCAACCUGCCCUACAGAUGGGGAUAACUCCGGGAAACCGGGGCUAAUACCGAAUAAUCAGUUGGUCCGCAUGGACCGACUCUGAAAGACGGCUUCGGCUGUCACUGUAGGAUGGGCCCGCGGCGCAUUAGCUAGUUGGUGGGGUAAUGGCCUACCAAGGCGACGAUGCGUAGCCGACCUGAGAGGGUGAUCGGCCACACUGGGACUGAGACACGGCCCAGACUCCUACGGGAGGCAGCAGUAGGGAAUCUUCCACAAUGGACGAAAGUCUGAUGGAGCAAUGCCGCGUGAGCGAAGAAGGUUUUCGGA
rnacentral:rRNA from 1 species